AUGUAUAGUAUAGGGCAGUACUUCUGUUUUGUCAGUAAAUAAUGCUAUUGUAGAAAUCAAUACUAGAAGUAUUCUCAGUUUCUAGUUGAUCCAUCAGUGAUCAGAGAGCUGACGUUUUAUCUUCGUCUCUUAGCCAUAGUAAUAUUGGUUCUAACAUGAGCAAAUCUGAUAUAGAAGACAAUAAUGUUGAGAAUUCACAAAGAAAUAAUCAUGACGAUGAAUAUGCUUAUAACAGUGAUGAUAGUACACUGUACAAUGCAAAUUCUAGUCAUGAUAAUCAAGUUGAAGUACCGAAAAAAAUCACUGGCAUGGAUAAAAUGUUAAACUUAAAUACCUCAUUGAUUUUCGAUGUAUGGAUACUAAUUUACUCUUCAUUACUGUUAUUGUAGAUAUGGUAAAAAAUUUGAUUUAUAUGAUAAAAGUAAUGAAAGGAACUCAACGUAAUCAUGGAAUAUUAUUGGAGGAAAUAGUGUAGCGACUCAGGAAUAAAGGAAUAAUCGUAUUUCAUCUUAAAGGAAUACUCAUUGAAAAUAUCAGUACAGCAGAGAAAAUAGAGAAAUGUUUAGCUUCAUCCACAUCACAAAUGGAAUACCUUAUAAGAAUAAAUUUGAAGCCCAUUUAGUGAUUUUCACAGCAGAACAUAAGAUAUUCUCUUACAAUAAACUUUUGAAAAAAGUGUUAAAUAUUUACAGACUAAAAGACUUUCCACCGAAGAUGAAACUGAACUAUUUUUGCUACUCGAGUUUAAGAAGAAGAGAAUGCCCCCCGCUCCUUAUUGAUGCCUAAGGUCGCUGAGCGGCCGUGAUUGCCGAGAAAACAUUUUCGGUCGCUUGAAACAAAUAAUUAGUAUGAGAAGGAGCUUGCUGUCUCGUUCACUCUCAGCACGCUGCAGGCGAACACACGGACAUGGGCACGUGCUUAAGUAUGUGGCUACCAUUUUGCCAGACCGUCGUCUGAUUCUGUGUCGCCACCGUCAACGCAGAGUUCUUGACUGAGUCUGAGUAGUCAGGAGCCUUAAACCCGAUUAAGCAUGCCGUGUAACAGAAGUCAAUAAUAAAGUACUUGUUAUAUUUCGUUAUAAGCUUUAAAGUGUUCUUAAAAAUGUUAUAUAUUUAAUAAAUAUUGAAUAAAUUAUUAA